CUGGGCUCCGGCAGGGAGCCAUGGGAAAAGGGAAUCCAACCGAAAGACACGUACCCCACUCUCCCAGGCUGUAGGGUGGUCUGUUGAGAGCGAGAGCUCAUCAGAACGGGCCCAGCCUAACCUGGAGGAGACCUGGGACAGAGGAGCUUGCAUGGCUGGUACCUGGCAAAGCAACCAAAAGCCUUCACCAAAAAUGAUUUAAUUAGUUUUUGUUUAGCAAAACUUUCCCUCCCUUACUCCCCGUGCCCUCCCCACGACCCCAGCCUGCCUGGGUUUUGUGGAGUAAUUUUAGGGCUCCGUGUUUCUGACCAGAUCUCAUCUACUGUGACAUGUGACAGAGCCCAGUGAGUGGAAGGCUCCAGCCCACAGAUACCCAAGAAAAUCUAAGAUUCCAUUGCUGCUCAUGCAAUUUUCUUAGACGGUUUGUCAAAAGUUAUUGGUGGCUAUUUUUUAAAUGGAAGGAGUAGUGAGAAAAUAGCUUUGCAGCAUAUUGGGCUAGCAGAUUGUUCAGACUCUGUACAGGGACAAUAAAGCCUUUAGGAGCCUUUGAUUGACAUAUAUAAUGAAUGUAGCUGUCAAACUUUUGUGCAGCAAUUUUAUUUUGGCAAGCUAUUUCACCGGCCAGGGUUUGCAUAAAAGGAAUAAUCCACAUUGUUGUGGUGCUGCUAUUUACAGAGCCUAGAGGACAGUGGCAUCAGUACAAUAUAAAUAUUAAUUUUCAGAUUUCUUUUGAAAUACAUAAUUCUGUAUGCAACCUAUACUACAUGCACAUCUUCAUAGAGGGAGAAAGGCAUUUUUCUGCAGAGAGAAGGGGGUCUGGAGCUGCUGGGAGUUGUUCAUUCACUGAUUCAUUAUGUAGCCUUUGAAAAGGCACUUAGUCACUCUGCAGUUUAGUGUUUCUCUCUGUGAAGCAGAGAACAAAGCCUCAACACAAACUGCUAUCACUGUUAUCAGUCAGAGUGGCAGAGGUCACAGAGCCAGCAUGGGGUCAAGGGGCUGUUCUGAGCAGCCCUCGUGUGCACAAAGCCCAGGACAGCUGUGCUCUUCUGAAACAGAUUCUUUCUCCUGCCAAAGCAGUGGCAGGGUCAGCUUGGGCUACCUAAGACAGCAGUUGCUGCUUACCCUCUACCUCUCUUUGGUUAUGAACAAUAACUCACCAAGAAAUCAGUAGCCUCAGAGAAAACAGGCAGAAAGUUACUGAGAGGGCAAAGCAAAACAUCAAGGAGAGGAAGAAAAUAAAAAUCUACAUCAGCAAGGAUGACUCUCACACUGUAUUUGCUGUGCAGUCAAGCCCACAAGUGGCUUGUGUGUCUGAAGGUGGAAAUACAAAGACAUGUCCUGUUCCCUGAAAAGAUUACAGGGCAAGGAAAUACCGCAGUUAUGGACCCAGUAAAGACUUUUGAGAAUUGCAGUUACUUGCUGUUCCUGCUGUGAGCCAGAGAACCCUGUGUCCUGCAGAGCUGCAGCUUGUGCUUACCCAUGAUCUUGGCCAGCUGCACCUGCACAGGUCCUCCAUUGCUGGAUGAUGAAAUUACAGAGUCAAGGGUGAGAGAGAGAGACCAGCAUUCCAUCUGACAUCUCCAUAUAUUCCCAUCUUUUUCUGGUAGAGGACGGCUUCAUCUGCCACACAGCCCAUGUUCAACAUCAGCAUCACAAGUGCUGAACAGCAUGAGCACACUGCAGAAGACAAACUGCAAAUAAAUCAGGGCAAUUACAAUACAUAAAUGCACAGCUGGAAGAAUUAAUGUCAAACACACAAUGGCAUUGCAGACAUCCCCUAAUAAUGAAGGCUUGAAUGUGCUGUCUCAGUAAAACUCUCUGAAUGAGAUUUGUGUGCAGUAUAAGGAGAGUUUCUGAGAGAAAUAUAAAUGCAGGCCAUCAUUCUGCAAAACUUCACAAACCCAAGCUUUUUCAUUCAGCCACCAUCUCACUGACUUUGCUGCAAAAUCAAGGCCAUUGAUGUUAAAAGCACAGACAAGAAUGUCUGCUCAAACUGAUGUGUUUUAACUGUAUUAAUUAAUUAUCCAGAAAUUCUUCUUAUGUCAUGGAAAUAAAGUUUGAACACUGGCAGAUAAAUGCUCUUGCAUUAAAUAGAGAGGAAUCAGUAUUUGCUGUUGUAUCUCUGGCAUGAAUGGGAGUGGCAUGAGUAGGUGGGCUGCAGGCUCCCAUUCAUCUCUUACAAAUAGGGGUUAAGAGGAUUUACAGAUUUACAAUGAAAGCACUCACCCGAUUGAUAGUUGCAACAUUUCAGUAAUUCUUCAGUCUUGGCUCAUGGAAAAAGGACAAAGCCAACCAGCCAUGCUAUUCCUUCAAGGAUUUACAGCCCAGCAUAUCAAGGAAAUGGUUUCAAGACAAGGAAAAAGAUCUAUGGAAGAAACACUCGAAGCAGCCAUUAGAAAAAAAAGGUUCCACUUUCACACAAGGGAAUCUUCUCCCCAGUCUUCAGCACAAUGUGCAGUCCUUUUGUACAUCCAUGUGUGGGAUCUCAGGACUCAUGUCCAUAUACCAAGAGCUGGCAUGUCAUCACCAUCCUAGAGAACGAUUUCAGUUCAUGAAGUGCUGCUAGGAGAAGGAUUAUGAUUCCUCUCACCAAAAUACUCGACAGGCUACAAAGGAAGAGUACAAGGAAAAGUUAACUUCUUUGUUCAGGAAAUGUACACCAUCCCCUUUCCUCACCCAUAAAGCAGGAGCAACACAGAAUUGAUAUACAUAUAUAGAAGUUCUAUAUCUGUAAUAUAGAUUAUAUACUUUAGUACAUAUGUAUAUAUAUAUAUGUAGAUAGGUAUAGAUCUAUAUGUAGUAGGUAUAGUAUAUACAUACUUCAGGUCUGGUUAAAGCAUAGUGUGGAGCAGAGGGAGUCUGUGGGGCUUUCAUUCCACGGGAGAAGCAAACCAUACCUCCUGCAGAAGGCAAAGUGUCCAUGCAAACUGCAAAAGGCACUCAACAAACAAUUUUGGUUUGUCACUCAAGUGCUUGGUUAAUGAUUCACCCUGAACAACCAAGAAAGGAAGAAGUGAGCUUGUCCUCCUUAAGUCCACUGGCUGCAUUAAGAAGAAAGAGCUCAAUGUGGAGCCAGUGCAAGAGAGAAACUUCCCCCCUACAGUGCUGCAGGAUGCGCUUUCCCAGGAACAUGAACCGGGAUUACGUGUCACAACAGCAGGCAUGGCUGAAACAGGUGUGGGCCAACCCAGCCACACAUGGACCUUGUGUCAUAUUUUUCAUUAGCAGAACCCAGAUCCUUUACACUGUAAUUGCCUCCCAAAUGAGGAAGCUGCAACAUAAAAGGCAUUUGGGUGACUUCCUGAUGGGUGACUGCAGAGCCAACAGGCUCAUCUCAGUUCUUCCACGCACUCAGGCUUGGAGUGCCUGCAAAAUCCUUUCUUCCUCUUAUGCCUCUGAAAGGCAUCAUGGCCAGCCAUUUUGCAGGGGAUUUCAAUAAAAUUACAUGCUUGAUGUUUACAUGUUUUUGCCCGUGAGACAGCUUUGAUAUGCUUUGUGAAACACAUGCUUUCACAGAAAUCUGAGGAGGAAAACCACAUUACCAAGAACAGUAAAAUAUUGUUCUGUUUGGAACAGACAAUUUUAAUAAGACUGUUUUAAUGGCAAGAUAUAUUUAAUGGUAGAUAUUUUUAAAUGCUGGCAACAGGUUUUGCUAGACAAAAUCUUAUUAUAUCAUUCAUUGGAUAGAUUGCUAAUCCGCAAAAACCCAUCAUUUGAGACCCAACAAAUACCAUUCUAAUGUUAGAGAAAUCCCUUGACUUCUCUGUACAGCUUUGGAGACUGUGAUACAAGGUCAAGCCAUUUGUGAGUGUAAAGUCUCCCCAGUACUUAAUUUUUCCAGGUGCCACUUGGUGCCACUUGGCUGUUUGAAGUUAUUACAAUGUUUCAACAGAGAACUGCACAGAAUGACCGUGUUCUCCUUCCCAUCUAAGAAUUGCAUAAGCAGAUAAAUGUUUCUGUAUUCAAUAACUAAAAUUAAGAUUCCCUCUGCCUGUAGCCUCCUUCAAGAAUGUCGUUAUUCUGCCUGAGAAACCACAUCCUGCUUUGCAUCCUAUGUGGAUUCAUUCUCUCAAUUGAGAGACAUCAAGCUCAGCAACCUUCCAGGACUGCUGAGAAUCUCUUGAGAGUCUACAGUAAACAUUUCUUUAUGAACUGCGUCAGCUAUGAUGAACUACACAAUUUCACACCACUAAGGAAAGUGUCUGGGACUGGCUUUCUAACCAAUGCAGACACAGGGGUGGACUAACUGGCCAAUUAUAAUUUUUCCUAGAGAAUGAUGAGUAUAACUUUUUCCCACUCAGAGCUAUUGUUCUGUGUUUUCCCAGGAUUUCAGAGUGUGUCCAGCAGUGACAGGAACCUCUGUGCAGUAAAUCCACUCAGGCUUACCAGGAAACUGGGAAUCCUGGGUGCCUUUAUGCUAUAGUCUAUGUAACCUGCUACUGCUAAGGGUAUUACAAACAUUUUGAAAGUCUUACUGCAGAUAUUGCUCAUGGCUGCACAGUGGAUUUGCAUGUCUGAUCCUGCUGGAAAACCAUCCCAUUCAGCUGGUACAAUUCACACACAUACAGUCAAGGACCUCCCAAAGCAUCAGACAACCCACACAGCACCUCAGCCAUGUUCCCAUCUUAGGCAAGGGAGAUUUGACAUUUCUUGAACAAAGUCCUGUAUUUGCAAGUUCAAAUACAUGCUGCUACAGGCAGUAGUGCAUUACUGAGUGCAUUUGCAGACCAGCUCCCUGAGGUGCUCUCUCCCCACCUCCUGCAUGCCCCAGCACAUAAGAAAAUCAGACCCAAGUGCCUCUCAGAGCAGAGCACAAGCAGCUGGCCUCCAGCAAAGCUGACACAGACAGAUGCCCUGAGUCUCACCACGCUGCACUUCGAGGAUGUCUCAUGGCUGCUUUGACUUGAAGGCGACCUUCACCCCACCUGAUGAAACCAGCAGUAGGCUGAGGGCCAGGCUCAGGGCCAAAGCCUGUGCAAACAUCUGCUGGGAAUCAGUCAAAUGGCCUUUUGCUGUGGAAAAGAAGUCUGACUUUGAAGUCUGCCCUAGAGAUCCGUAGCAGAGGGGCCUUCUGUGCACAGGCUGAGGCAUCACGUCACGAGCAGUCUCAGCUGAACAUGCCUAUUUAUGGUGGAAAGCUAAAGGUGCUAUGAGUCAGGUGCCUGAACAGGGAUCUCUAAUUAUACCUUCCAGCUACAUGUAAUAUGUAAAUAUGCUAUGUGGGCAGGAAAUGUAUGAAAUAGGAAGGCAUUUAUUAUAAUUAUUUUUAAAGAAUUUUAAAAAUAUUUAAGUAUUUGAACUUUAUUUACAGCAUGGCAAGAGCUGUUGCAUAGAGAGUUGGAAGUAAAUAAACUCCUUACCCAAAACUCUCUUACAGGCCACUCAGCAAGAUGAAGCAAAUAUCACUUUUCUGUAUCAUUUUCUUUAUUUUUUACAGCCACACCAGGCAAAACUGAGCUGUUUAACAAACUGAUCUGUUUUGCAGAUGGAAAGGAAUUUAUAGAGCCUUGUAUGAUUUAUAAAAAUGUAAUACAAGAGCAUUUAAAUUGUGGCUUCUUCUGACAAAGUGGACAAAUUCCUGGAUUUCUUGGUUGAUGUUUAUAGCAAAUUAACCUACUAGGAAAAAUGCUGAAGCGACAGCAACAAGAAGCAGAGCAGAGAGGCACAAGGGGGUGAGCAGCAGUGGUGGGAAGGCCCCCCAGGCUAGCAUGUGCCCUGAGGAGAAGGCCAAGGAUGACACUGGUGGCAAACACAGUAUUGUCUACACGCUUUUGUCUGCUAUGCUCUGGGAUGAGAUCACCAUAUAUGCCCAUCCCUGGCCUGGCCACUGCUACCUGGGGACAGCCUGCUCCUCUGCUCCCAGCUCUGACUUGGGAGCCUGCAAUGUAGGAUAUGCCUAUGCAAACUCCAGGAAAACCACCUAAAAUGGCCACAACACAGCUGCCUGACCAGAAGGGGACUUCCCAAGAAGGGAUCAGAAGAGGAGUAUUUUAGAAUAAUCUCUGUAACAGCAGUUUGAACCUAAGGGAUGGGUCUGGACAGUGACUCAUGGUGCCCAGUGCACAGCUGGAGCAGGAUUGCAUGUACAAUUACAGCUAUUAAAGCCAGCCAGCUAAAAAACUCACUGCUUCAAAGUGGCAUCUGAGAAACCACAAUUAUUUCCCGUUCAAACUGUAGAAGAAAAAUGUGGUAUUUUUUGGUACCAGCAUGCAGCAGUGUUUGCAACAGCUGUACAUGUUCAACUGAAAGGGAAAUAGUGGGUUUUGACAAAUUUAGGUUCCAAUAUUAAAAAUCUGUAUUAUAAAAUUCAUUAGCCAUUAAUCAUUUGUGUUACAGAUAUGACUUUAAGACCUUCACUGUCAGGGCAGGCUUUGGACCUGUGAUAUGGUCAUAUCCAUGCGAAAUGUCCAUUCAGCAAGCCCUGAUGUCAUCUAUCUCCUCCUUCCUAAUUUAAGAGGGGAACAAAACUUACUGAUAUAAUUACAAUUUUCUAAAGAAUAAAAUUAAUGCACAGAAGUUGGGAAGCAGCAAAAAAAACAACUGUUGAAGCAAAUUCCUAAAUCAAGUGAAGAGAACCUUUGACAGCAACUGUGGCUCAAGGCUCCCAUGACAAUGAGAGCAGUGAAGCAAAGUCUUGUGCUUGACUUGUUUCCCGACAGGCAUCUGGGAACUCCUUGGAUGGGGCUGGCAUGAAACCUUCACUGCAGGAUGAUCACUCAGAGGCUUACAGCAGACACACCACAGAGAAGAAAAAUAUCCCAUACCUACUCUGUGGAUCAGAUGAAAUUAUCAUUUCAGGGGAGGUAUCAAGGGAGAGGAUUAAGAGCAAGGAACAAUUUCAUCUGAUGUCCUUGGGCCAGCUAAGCUGCAGUGCUCCUUGUCUAGUGGGCAACUGCCCCAAUGUUUUGGGGUUUAACAGUUUUAAAUAGUCAGGUAAACUGAAUGUGGCAAGGAGGAAUAGCCUGAAAUAACAGUUGUGUGUAUAUGAUGCUUGCCAGUAUCCUCUCAUAGCAAAAUGAUCUGUUUGGAGGGCUGACUACUUCUUCUAACAGCCCAAAAAGCUGUGAUGUACAAGCUGGGCCUCUUUCUCCUAGAAAAUUUGUCCAGAUUUUACCCUGUUAGAAUCACACAGCAAACAAGCACAGAAAACUUGGAGCUUUUCAUUCCAAGGCACCAAGGGGAAGCAAGUUCCCUAAAGUGUUGUGGUAACAGACUGACUUUGCUGGAGCAAUAAAGUCUGCACCCAUUCAGCAGUCCCCAGUGCCUGUUAAAAUUUCUCAAAGAAGCUUGGGUGUUUGUGGGUUUGAGUUAUCUCUGAAUUCAGAAAACCAGAAGACAGCUGUUGACAGCAUUUAGCUCACAUAGCCACCAUAAGAUGGCCAAUGGUAAUCCUACACCAGCACUACAUCUCUGCUUAUCUCCUCACUUAGCAGAAUAUUUUCUCCUCUACUUCAAAGCAUUCAGCAGUCCUUAAGAGUAUCUUUUAGUUUCAUCACCUAGAUUGUGGUCUUUAAGGUAUCAAGCCUGAAGACAAAUAUAAUUUUUAUGUGAUGAAUUCAGUAUUUUCAUGCCUCUCUGGCUUCAGGGGAGACUUUAAAACUCUGCAAAUAAUGCAGAUUGCUUUAAAUUUUUCUUUUCUAAAAAACCUCUCGAAUUUGAAAAAACACACUACUGAGGAUUUUUGUUCCCAGAAAUAACAAAUGUUAGACCAGCCCAACUUCCUUCACAUUACAAACAAAAUUUAAUGUAAAUAUGAUGCCUAUUCUGACUAUUAUCUCUAGAAAAAUUCUUUGGUUAAAAAACUUUCUUUAUGUUAUAUAGUUCAGAACACUACUGCUGUCUCUUCACACACAAUAGACACUUCAGGUGUUGCCACUAAGGGACAUUACUGUUUCACAUAAUAAAUUGGUAUAAAUAGGAGAUUCCAUCCCCAAAUAAGUAGUCCUAUUAGGAACGGGAACGUGGGUAUGUCCCAGUUUGCAGUGUAAAACACUGAUGUCGUAAUUUCUAAUAUUAAAAGAACUGUUUCCACAGGCUUUCUGCUAUAUAUCCAUUUAAUAUUUUCAGGCAAAGUAAAUGCUACAUAAAUGUUAACUAAAUAGAUUUAAAAACAAAUCUAAAACAACCCUAAAAAUCAAAACAAACCCAAAAACACACAAAAAUCCCAAUGACCAAGCAUCAGCAUCAGAACAGACGGUCUAGUCUAUUUAAAUUUCAACAAUUGCAAUAGGAAAGAAAAGGCAGUGAAUUACUUACAGGUUGCCUCUCUGCCAGCUUCAAACAAACAAAAAAAUUCAAGUUAGUUUUUAAAUAUGUCUGCCUUUUUUUAGUCACAACUAUACACAAGAGGCACAGAGACACACAGGACCUCGUUCAAGUGACAAUGUGUGUAAGUGAAUUACCACACCCCGUGUUCACACAGCCCACCUUAAUCAUCUCUGAGAAGCUGAACAGCCUUUCUGUUGCACAAGCUGAGAUUGUGAUCAAAACUCUUUGGGGUGUGCCCUGAAACACCAAAUAUUGGGAUGUUUGUACAAUGGACAGUUACCUGUGACGUCCCUGCAGCUCUUUUCCCUCACUGGAAGCCAUCAGGCCGAGCCUUUGGCCAUCUCAGCAUUGCCACAGCACGAGUUGUGCGUGAGGCCUUUGCCACGGCCGUGUAGGACUGCUUUUGGCAAACAUGCUCCAGGAUGAGCACAGGUCUCAUCCUAAAAAUGUCUGACCGUAAAUACGCAGGGAAGACCUGGGAGCAACAGGGAGCACUGGCACUCUCUCCCAGGCUGGUGGCUGAGGACAAAGAGCGAGCUGACUCAGCCCACACACGACGUGAUAAUGCGACAGAGGGUGAGCAUGCAGGCAGCGUAACAGGCCACCAAACAGCACUGGAUCCCCAGCCAGACGUGGUAAGCAAGGAAUAAAGGAGACUCAAACUUUCUUUCCACGAAUACACAACAAGAAAUCUCUUAUUUGGAGCAGUGACCUAAUGCCAACACUGAACAAAGCACAGCUGUGUUCCUGGAAGACCAUGGCCUUACAGAGAGAGUCCAGUGGAGCAGCUGUGGCCUCAUGGCCAUGCUGUGGGACACUCUGAGGAAAGAGGUGGUGUCACAACCAGCUCUUUGAUUCCACAACCUUUUGAUAAAAGAGCUGAGACCUGGACUUGCAUUGUGGAAGGUGGUCCCAAAAAUUUCAUGCUGUUCAAAUAGAAAACUAAAAGUUUCCUCAAUAUCCAAGAUAAAAUGAGAUUAUUCAGGUAUCCCCAAGGAAGCUUGAGCCACAUUCAGAGCCCCAGACCAUCCUAGGCUGCUUCAUGAAGUGGCACUGGCCUGGGAAGGAGCACAAGGAUUAGAAAUGGAACCUUUGUGAAGAAGUUAAAACUGCUGGAAAGCAGGACUCGGGGCAAGCUCUGGAGGGCACCAGUGCCUGUGAAGCACAUAGAGCAUACAGCAAGUGAUGACCUGCUGGAAAGUGACUUCCAAGGCAUCCACCAAAGGCUGCAGCCAAGUAGUGCUUCAGGGCGGUGCUCAACCUCUCUGGGCAACUGUAUCUGUGGAGCCCGUGCCAGUCUUAAAUUCCAGCCAGAGAUACCAGACACCUGAGAAUUUAAAGAGGUCUUAAAGUGACACAGAUACCAGUCUUGGAAAUAGCUCUUUCGAAGUUUGUGCUGAACUAUUUACAAGCACUUUCCCCCUUCUUUCCCUUUACCCCACAAUGUAACAAAACAAACAAACAAGCAUACAAGAAUCUGAGGUGACCCAGAAUAUAGAUUAAGACUUCUUGAAGUAUGGAAUCAAGAUGAAGCCAAAAAUCAUUAAAAAAAAAAAAAAAAAAAAAAAAGAAGAAGCUGAAGCUGUUGCUGUUUAAUGCAAACAUUUGAGUUAAAGCCCUUCUCACAGAAUGUUUCCUACUGGCUUUUUCCUGAACAGCAUAAACACUGGCAGCACUCAUCUGAUGGUCAGCAGUGACUCCACCACAUCUGGAACAGUUUAAGCCACAGCCUUCAUGCAAAGCCAUGCCCACAAAGUCAGGAAUGCAAACUUGCAGUUUAAAAGAAAAGCUGGAUAGCUCAAGCUCAAAUGGACAUUUAGAAGAACAAGGAUGAAAGCAUCCUCCAGCCAUAAGUACACAAUGUGUGCCAGGCUGGGGGUGGAGAGGAGAGCAUUGUCACAAGGACUGCUAGGGCAGAAAAGUGUUUAGCUGAAGUAUCAAGGUGUCCACACGCCCGUAGUAUGAAUGGUUAUACAAGCAACCACUUGAAGGGAAAGUCUGUCUUUUUUCCUCUUGGCACAUAAUGAAACUGAAGACAAACAGUGUAUAAAUAAAACAGGGUGCUUCUGUAGUACAGAAUGAUAACAAUCUCAGCAAUUCCUUGGCUCAUGCCAGGAAAUUCUCCUCACACACUGCUUGCAGGUUUAUCAGCCUUAUCAGAUUGGACACAAAAAGUAAAAUUACAAAAGCAAGGAGUCAAAAGCAAGUGUCUCCACAAUGGAGCUUCUAAAGAGCAAAUACCACUUUAUAUGGGAAAACCCAAAGUAUGGCUCAAAAGUCUGGGUUAGCUCAUAAAGGGGGUAUGGCACUCGGUGCCACACCACUGCAUCCCUAUGUAUCAUGUACAUCAUGUCAAGCCAUCCCUGAGCAAAAACACUGAAGUGCAAAUACACACACCUACCUCAGCUCCACUGCUCGCUGAAGGGAGAGUGUCACACACGUGAUGCUCCUCACUAGAGCACAAACUGUUUCACAGAUGAAUCAAGUACCAUGGUUCUUCUUCCACAAAAGGGAAACCUGAGCAGCAUCACGUCCCACUUGCCCCACAUCCAGCCAGUCCGAUUCCAAGCAGUUCUUUGUGGUCUUGUGAAGUCUUUGUCCCACUCUUGAAAUCAAGAUGAAUUUACUUAUUCCUGCUAAAGUAACAUAUGAGAGCUACAACUAAUGCUAUCUGAAGAUCAGAAACCCUACAAAUGGUGAUUUUUAUUCAUUUGGUAACUUUAUAGGAGAAGCUGUGAAACCCCCACUGAAGGUUUACAACUUUGACUUCCCAGAUACCCCACACCUGAUGGGAGAGUGAAGUGAAAACAGUCUUCCAAAUAGGUCAUGCCAACAUUAUUUCACCCACACCCAAGCUAUCAGAUGUUGGGAAGCUCAGAUGUGAAACCACCCUAAUGCUCCUCACACCACCACCUGCUUCAGAGGUGAAGUGACAACACUUUAAUGGAUUCUUUUGUCCAGGUCCUCUGUGUUCAGAAGCAGCAAUGCCACUUCAGCAAUCUCUACUGUGCUUAGAACUCCUACAUUCAAUCUAGGUAACUAAAUAAGUGCUUACUGGACACUUUGAAGCCCAAGAAAAACCCUAUAGGAAUGGAUUCUGCCUGCACAACUUGUGCUAAUGCAACAGACAAGUUCUUUGCAGGGCCUCUCCUACAUCUAUUCUAUCUAUUGACACGCUGUCUUCUAUAUACCUGCCAAGGCACAACACAACAGCUUUCUAAGAGACUCCUAAAAUUCCCUUCUCUAGGAAAGUGAUGCAGAAGAAACUGAUUUUAGGAAAUUUAGCUUCAGAAUACCCAGUGUUUUGAAACCCUUUUGAAGUAUUACUGUGCCUGUAUUUUCCUUAGCUAAAUACAUAAAAUACUUCAUAUAUUAGGAUAUCGGCCAUAAGUUUUACAGAAUUGGAGAUUAAUAUUUCAAACCCACCACUACAACAGGUGAAUCAAUAUUUCCAUAACUUUCACUUCUUAGUCAAUUACAGAUUUAUUACACGUGAGUUUAAGACACAUAGGCUUCUCCAUGUACCAAUGAAGCUAAAACUACAAGGGCAAUCUCUAUAUAAAACAGCCAAUACCACAUGGUUUGUUUUCAGGGUUUCAGUUUUCUAUUAGUUCACCAGUGAUGAGAUAUAAAUACUCCAAUGAAGCCUAGACUAAAUGUAUUUUUAGGAGCCUUGGUCUAGAAAAUAUAUAAUUAACAAAUUAAGAAGCCCAAAAUAGUUCCACAGAGCAGCCCACGACACUUCUUCAGCUUGUCACAUGGUUGUUGCUGUGCCCAGCUAUAACUGCUCACCAGCAGCACUUUGCUCAGUUUUCAUAAUUAGCUAUAGGGUUUGCACUAAUUUGCUUUCAGAGCAGCUCCCAUCAGGCACAAAGGAGAAAUGCUCUCAGUUUACAGGAUGACAUCUACAUCUGUUCCUGAGGUUGUGCUCAUGUGGGCUGUGCUCUAGAAGACACAUCUAUGUCACAAAAACAUGUCCUUAGCUCACAGCUGGAGAGACAAACACAUUAAGUGAUUUAAGUGAAAACUCGCUAAAGUAAUUGAUGAAUUUCAGAAAGUGAUAAAACUUCUGAAGACAACAACUAUCAGUCUUUGGAUCUCUUCACUCAAGUAUUUUAGGUGAAAGAGAAAAGGACUCUAACAUGAGUUACUCAUUACUUAUUGUUCUUGACAUAGUGCAACUAAAUAUUUGUAAAGCUAUGCAUUUACAGCAUGGACUUAAAAUAAACUCAUUAAACCCACAACUUUUUGCUCCCAAACAAAUAUAAAAAGAAAACAAUAUGGCAGUUUAUACCCCGUUUAUUAAGACAGAGCCAUCUAUUACUUAAUACACUGGUUGGGUAGCCAUAAAUCACAUUAUUUUCUUACUCUAUUAAGAUGCAAGACAGUUUGGCAACCAAAUAACAAAGACAAAUUAGGCAGGGUGGAGAAACAUUUAAGCUGCAUUGAGUUAAAAAACAUCUAAGCUGGGGAGACCUAAACCAGCACAGUUACACAAGGUGCUGGCAUCGGGUGACGCUCGGCACGGCGUGCUUGCCAGCCAACUCCUCGAGUGCCCAGCGGGCCUGCCAGGCCCCUUCAACUGGAAUGUCAGAAAAGGUCCAGGGACUGUCUGGAUGCCGCUUUUUUGGACAUCUUCCAAAGAGCGCACCACCAAAGCUACAGUUUCUGUGUAGGGAUCGCAUAGUUCUUUGCAAGAAUGAAGGCUUCUGGUAAGAAAGUUUAUAGUGCAAUCUGAAUUAAUUUGUGCCCACAGUGUCAUUAUUCAUUUUCCCAAAACAGUUUAAAUAUAAUUGUGUAGGAAUUUGAUGUCUCUGUAAAGAUAUUACAAAGCAGUGCUUAUACAGUCGGUGACUACAUAGAUUCAAUUUUAAUAAAUAUAUCUCUUCAAGCUUUUGCAAAACCACAAGUACGAAAGCAAGAAGUGACAAAGCAGCCAAGUGCUUCUGUAUCUUCUGAACGCUAUUAAAAUUCUCAGGGCUCUAAGGAGUUCAGAUACCCUAUCACACAGGAAGCACACCCCGUGUUCAGUUUAACAGCUGCUCAGGGAAGAGCAAAACCUAUUUCUGCUUCCUCUUUGCCAACGUGCCACCAAGUUACAGCUCCUGCUGAGAAGUCAGAGAGGUUGCUUUACUCCAGACAAGCAAGUUCAGAUAUGUUCCUGCUUGUCAGCAUAGCUGUGUGCUUAACAUGGAAAUUUGUAACGUGAGCUGUAUUGCGCAGAGUUACACACUUUUUUUCCUACUGAAGACAGAAAAGGGUCAAGCACCAGGAGCUUCAGCUCAUGAAUUCAUUGUGUUGGCCCUAGGGAACCUCGCUGGUAACAGCUGUAGCCUUAAUGCAAAUAUACAAAGUGAACACUUACUCAGCUCGAAAAGCAUACACACAAUAGUUACCCUGAUAACAACAAAUACAGUAUCAGGUUAACAUCCUGUUGAUAGACAACUUUUGUAAAUGGAAUUAUUUUUUUAAAUCAUAAAUGGCAAUGCUUCAUUGAAAUAACAGAUUUCAUUUGCUUCUUGAAACAACUAUUCUUAAAUCAGUCUGGCAAUAUGCAAGCAAAUUAAGUAAGAGCACCAGAUUUCUUUUCAGUUUUCAAAAGACUGUACAGUUUAAGUCAUCAAGAGAUUGUUUGGGUUUUGAUUUUUCUUUUUAAAAGAGUUUUGAUUUAAGACAGUGACAGAGAAAACUUCUAAAAAGCAUCUUCAAAAGAUCCUUAUCUCACUGCAAAACAUUCACUUUAGGUAUUUUGACAUAAAAACAUCAAACCUUUUUCUUUUCAAAGUCCUCAUCAGGAGCAUUUUCAACUUUUAAAAAAUGCUUAAAAUCCAGACAUCUGAAGUCAACUACAUUCAACAGAUACAACUCAUGGUCAAGCUAAAUGAUUCUCUGUACAUCAGUACUGCAAAAAGGAAAAGAGCAAUUAGCAGUGUUACACCAUGCUCCAUAAGAAUUAAUACUUUAAAAGCCAACUGAUUUGAUUUCUACUUAAAAAAUAAACAGGUAAGAAAAAUCUCUUUUGGUCACAGUCCAGAGACAACUGUUUAGGUAAGUGUGACAACAGCAGGAAAAACCACACCAAUCAACUGGUCAUAAUAUAUAAGUGCAGGUGAAGAUACAAAUAAAAUAGUCCUUUUAAUUGCAAAGCAUGCCAUACACAGAAAACAGACAGAAUUUUUAGAAUUCCAAUAUAUUAAUGCUCACCAUAUUGGUGCACUUCAGUAGCUUCAAAAAAGACCAUGAAUGUAAACAUGCUUGGAGGCAUCUUAUUAACAUAUAAAUAUACAUGUGCCAGAUACUUGCAGACUAAGGUUUGGCACAUACGUGCUCACUUGACAACAAAACUUUCAGAACAUGAGGCUCAAAAAAUGCUUUCAUAAUUUUAAAUGUAAGCUUUAAAUGUUUUAAAUGGAGAAAUGCUAUUUUAGAAAAGAAUCAACUAAGAUUCAGUUCAUAUUUUUUCCAUUAAAUACUGUCUUUCACGAUGACUUUGGAAAAAAAACCCAAAACCAUGAUGCCUGCAGAUAUAUCUCUCUGGUACUCAGCAACUUCUGACAAUGUCAACCUCUGUCUUACAUGCAAUUCUGCAGCAGAGAAAAGCUUUAAAGCAUUCUGCAAUUAUUUUGGCUCACACAUGGAGACUGGAGCAAACAGGUUUUUCACUACAGAAAUUCAGAAUCCUUGCUUCUUUCUAAGUAGUGCCAAACCUUAAAUUAAAUAUGGACUUAAGGAUUUGAGUGACAUUUGUAAGUCUUGACUUCGUAUUGUCAAACACUACAGAUGAACAGACACAUCUUUUCACAACUCUAUGCUUCUGAUUUAACGACUAUAACUUUGUAAGCAGCAAGUCUUCAAAUGCAAAUAAAAUUUAAAAGUACAUAAAUGCAAAACAUUAAUUAGCAAAUUAUUUUCUUCACAAGUUCCAUUCUGACAAUUAUAUGGACAAGUCUACUUGCCUUACAAGUAUUUUCAAGAGUUAUGCAUUUAAAAUGAUAAACACCACAGACCUGAUGAAACUGCUAAGAGAUCCUAAACUCAUAGACCCUUCCUGGAUACUCAAAAUAUAGUAUAUUUUCCUUUUUCCAAUUCCACAGGGACAUAAAAUACCUUUGGUAAGAUUCCUUACAAAACCCUCCUACAGAGUAAGCACUUCCUAUAGCUCUUUCUGCUCAAACAAGAAUCACCUCAAAAAAACACUUGACAAGACUGAGGCUCAAAAACUCAUCUGUCAUGUAACCAAAUUAUAUUGGAACAAUACAAGAGUACCUUUUUACAUUGAAUCCUACUUUUAAAUUAAAAAAAAAGCUGUGGUUUGUGCACCUCCUUAAGACAUGUAAAAGGUUUUCUAAAUGAAACCAGAAUGAGAAACACAAAUGAGAAAUCAACUAUUUGCAUUCUCCACCUACUAGCAUUUUAAUGCCUUUAGAACUGAAAAUGUAUUCAUUAAGAAAUACACUACAACUGGAAUAGUCAACACUCAAGUCCACCAAAAUUUAAAAAGAGGUUCAUUUUAGCAUAACCACACUAGCAAAUUAUUCUGUGUAUUUCAGUGAAGCAGAGCUUUAAAAAAGUUGUAGAGAAAUAGAUAAUUCCUUUUUUCUGUGUUUUAGGGAGCAAAUCUCUCAAUAAAGAUUGUUUAUACAAAUGCAAGAACAAACUUUCUGAGAUAAGGGUUGGGGUUUUUAUUUUUUUUUUCCCAAAGAUUCCACCACGUGAUUAAAAAUUAGAUGAAUGUGUAUUCCUGACCACACUGACAAUGUCACAGCUAGUUCAUGACAAGCAACUGCAACGAGUGUAAAUGAAAAACAGGUCCCACACCGGGACAAAGCUUGGCUGCAGGCUGACUGUAUGACACUAAUACUGAAAGCAAGAAUUUAAGUAAACUCAUCUGGCAUUCAGAUCCGACUGAGGGAACAGUGAGAACGACACAGUGAAGGUACACUUAGGUGCAAUUUCAUGCUGGUGACUUUUUCCUCUUUUUAUGCUUAGAGCAGAUUUUAAACCAAGAGUUGCAUAUCCAAUGACACAUACACAAUUCAAAACUUAAGAGACCAAGAGCACAGUUGUACACAUAAUUACAUAAACUUAGUAUUUACAUAUUCUAAACAAAGUUCCAUUUUAACAGUUGAAGUCUUUUAACACAUGAAAGAAGAUAAUCUACUACAAAGAAUGCAUAACGGGAUCACAAACUUUCCACAAGCAUAUAAACACAUGUUUUAAAGUGCUUUCUGGGUGCUUCAGAUUAACCCCUCGCAGUACGAGCUAUUAUGUAGUGCUGUUCCAGUCAUUACAAAAUUAUUUAAAUCACUCCCCUUCAGGUGCAUUGUGAGUUCAGGAAUAAUGACAACACCAUUGAUGCAAAAGCUUUAGGCUCUACCAACAUAAAUGUAUACACUACUUAGGUUCAGAUGAAGUUGUCAAAUACUUUGGUUUAUUAUAGCUUGGGAUAAAUAUUUGAUAGAACAAAAAUUGCACCUCUCCACUCAAGUUUGUUUUUUUUUUUAACUAAAAAAAUACCCCAACAUAAAUUGACAGUAUUCUUUGGUAAAAACAGGACAUUUGGCCAGCUUGUGUGUACAUCUAUUUAUCAAAAUAGCCUAAAAGUGAACAAAUGCCACUGCUGUACUGUCAAUUUACAGGAAUAAGCAUUCCUCAGUGGGGAGUAUCAAAAUAUUAACCUUAGCAGUUACCUAUACAACAAGCUGAAACACCUUCAGCAACCAUUACAGGGGAUCAAUAAUGUUUUAGAACACUUUUUGCUUAACAUUUUUCCUUUGCAUUACAAAAACCUGUAAAAUGCUCUAUGCCUGCAGACAAGUCCACUACCUUGCAGUGACUACAGAAACGUUAUUCAAUGGUGUACACUGUCAAGUUGCUGUAACAAAAACCAGGAAUAAGAUGUGUUGACCAACUAAUACUCAACUGCACAGUACUUGUGCAUUACCUAUCCUAAAUACUAAGAAAAGCCUAUUAAAAAUUCAUUUAACUGCUACAAGUUACGUGAAUAUAUAAAAACAGAGCAGAUAUACAAGUAUAACACUGAACAUACUGUACUUUAUUAGCACAAAAAGCCAGAACAAGGCACAGCAAGCAGAAAAAUACAUCAAUAGAAGGGUUAGUGUAGCAUACAAGAAUAACGUUUAUUGUACUUGCAGCCAAAAUGUUUCCUACCUCACACAGGUCACUGCCGUAGAGAAGUAAGAAAUAAAAUACUGUAGCAGCUGGUAAAGAAACUAGGGAGCACUCAGAAUUGGUACAAAACAUUAAACAGGGGUCAGGGCAUUCCAACAAAAUUUUAGUGCAAAAUAUCUAAGAUAGAACUACUUUUAAGUUCCAUCUCCAAGUAAAUAAGCAAACAGAAGUUAGAAUCUUGAUUCUAAGUAAUCUGUUGAAACUAUUAUCAGUGCAUAUUACUUUAAAACAUUUUUAAAAGCACAGAUGGAAAGAUAUUUACAAAUAAAGUGUACCAGUACCUUUGAAACCUGACAUUUGCUUCAGAUAUGUCAGAUUUUGUACUCUGAUUAUAAUAAUUCAAUCAUUUUUCAUGUUCUCCAUAAAAAUAUCAGACAACUUUAAAUAAUUAAGAAUUUUUUUCUUGUCACUAUUACCUUCCAUUGUAAGUUACUAGCAGUCAGGCCACCAAAA